AAGAUUAUAUUUCCAAAAGUUAUUUUGUUUGUUGUAUACAUAACGAAAACAGUCAGAUGUCAAACAAAAAAAAUAUAACGAGACAGCGAGCAUUCAGCAGAGGAGCAUGGAAUACGCGAGGCGAGGUAGGGGAGGCAUGUGGGAAGCACGUGACCAUAUUGAACACCUAAGUCGUUUGCGGCGACGGCGGAAGAAGCUUCGAGUUCUGACUAAAAUUGCGGCGGAUCUGCGCGCUAAAGAAAAAAAAAACAAAAUUUAUGUUUUGUAUACAGCUUAGAUUCCUAAAUACUAAUAUUAAGCAUAAAAUGUUAAGCAACCCGCAUUACAAAAAAAAAAAACGGAAGCUAUUUUGAAGGCUGCUUAAGAAAAUAGUUUAUGCUAAGGCAAUUGAGUCUAGUUACCUAGUUAGUAUUAAAUUAGGUUUUAGAAAUUGUAUUAAAAAUAUGUAGCCUACUCACAUGUUAAUCAAUAACAAAAACCUUAACAGUAAUGGUUCAAAAAUAAUUGAUAAUUUUGAAAAAUGAUAGUAACGUG
rnacentral:lncRNA from 1 species